GAUGAACGCUAGCGGCAGGCUUAACACAUGCAAGUCGAGGGGCAGCAUGAGACGGAGAUUCGUCAAAGUCUUGAUGGCGACCGGCGCAAGGGUGCGUAACGCGUGAGCAACUUGCCCGUUUCAGGGGGAUAACCGGUGGAAACGCCGACUAAUACCCCAUAGUAUUGAUUUAAGGCAUCUUUUAUCAAUUAAAGAAUUUCGGAAACGGAUAGGCUCGCGUGACAUUAGCUGGAUGGCGGGGUAACGGCCCACCAUGGCAACGAUGUCUAGGGGUUCUGAGAGGAAGGUCCCCCACACUGGAACUGAGACACGGUCCAGACUCCUACGGGAGGCAGCAGUGAGGAAUAUUGGUCAAUGGACGCAAGUCUGAACCAGCCAUGCCGCGUGCAGGAAGACGGCUCUAUGGGGUUGUAAACUGCUUUUGACAAGGGUAACCUCGGUACUAGUACCGAGCUGAAAGUCUGUACGAAUAAGGAUCGGCUAACUCCGUGCCAGCAGCCG
rnacentral:rRNA from 1 species